rnacentral:lncRNA from 1 species
CACACACAUACGACACACACAGCUCUGGCCUGUGCAGCUAAUCUUCUUACCAAUCACAAGGUCUGACCGUUGUAACCGAACAAAGUUCACAUCAUCGACAGUGGUGGUAUUUAUUCCACAGAGAAACACAGGAACCACAGAGGCAAACAACAGAACCUUACAGAGUCACAGCUUCUUCCUCUGGUGACUUCAGUGGUGAUUUAAGUCCGAAGACACCUCUCUGAUUUCUCCAAUGUCGGUAUAAGCACAGUAAAAACUGACAUACUAGAAGAGACGGAACUUUAGAAGCUAUGCGACAUACGGUUAAAUUGUUACCUUGACUCGACUCUGAAUACGGACUACAGGAGACUACUUAACACCAGCAAGCAGCACAAUGCAGUAGCGAUCAGCCGUUCCUUUCCACCUUUAAAUCUGCAUUUGUGGAAACUGAAAAACUGACUACCAUGGAGGUACUGAGUGGCCCCUGGGCUGACUUGGCUCUGCUCUUGCGACAGGCCGUCACACAGUCAGACAGACAGUCAGACGGCUUUCUGCCUCUGUGGCUCUUCGGCCUGCUGCUGUUCAUGUCUGUCUGCCUGCUGCUGCUGCAGCUGAUCAUCUAUCUCAGCUGGAGACUCAGACAGGAUGAAGCUGCUGCUUUGGGGCUCCCACAGGACAGAAGCGCCAUCUACAGGCAGAUGUACAGAAGUGCACACCUGAGAAGGAGGACUAUGGGCUCCCAUUCAAACAGCUGACAUACAUGGACACUGAACUUAAUAUGGAUGGGAGAUUAUACUUGACAUAACUUAACUUUUUUUUUUUUAAUUUACCAAUAUAAAUAAAUACACGUCAGGAUUUAAUACUUUUUAUGAC